GUAAAACCUUUUAAUAAUACAUUAGUAUUUCAUUACUUGUUAACAUUUAAGCAUUGCAUUUCAAUAAGCAUUUAACACAUUAUAUAACAUUACUAAAGGCUUUUUCAUCAAAGUUAUUAUAGUGUAGCCAAAGAUUAAGGCAAAAUACAAUAUACUUCAAAUGGAUUUAUUGAAUCUGAUUUGUUGCUCCAUUUCAACAUGGCAACUAACUUAUUUCCUGGUUUCAUAGAUUUUCCUGUUCUUCUCAAUUUCUUUUACACAAUUUCUAAGGAAUCAACUUCUGGAAAUCAUACACAAGGUGUUCAACUGCAUGUUGAAAAAGAGAUUUGGUUUAUAUAACACACCACUGUGGCCUACGGGAGGUGACAUAGUUGUCUAGAAAGACAAGUGUUACAAUCACAAGGUGGACAUUCUCAAAACAUUGCAUACAGUAGUAUUUCAAUAUAGAAAACGAAGUUUCUUAUGCUCAGCAUACAGUAGCUCUACAACUGACCAUCUCAAAACAAAAAGCUCAAUUAGAGGCUAUUUCCUCUCACAACAUUUCAAACAGUUAUAUACUGCUAACUGAACAGUUUUUUCCCCAGACAGAAAACAAGUGUGUUUAUCACGAAGGUAAGAGUAGGCAAACGAUCUUCAGACUUCAUGAGAGCAAGUUACUUUAAAGGGAUGGUUCGGGAUUUUGGAAAUAAGGCCGUUUUAUCUACUUCCCCAGAGCCAGAUGAACUUGUGGAUACCAUUUUAAUGUAUGUGUCCAGUAUGAAGGAAGUUAGUUUGCUAGCAAAUGCUAACGCUAACUAGCAUCAGCACAAUGACUGGAAGUCUAUGGGUAUCUGAUAGCAUGUUAGUAGAUACCCAUAGACUUCCAGCCAUUGUGGGAGCCAAGGAAUUAAACAAAAUUACCCUUACCAUAGUUCAAUAGCAACUUUUAAUCAGUGGUGUAAAGUACUUAAGUAAAAAUACUUUAAAGUACUGUAGUAGUUCUUUGGGGUCUGUACUUCACUAUUUAUAUUUUCCAACUUUUACUUCACUACAUUCUUAAAAUAACAUAUUGUACUUUUUACCCCAUAUAUUUUCCCUGACACCCAAAAGAUCUCGUUACAUUUGGAAUGCUUAGCAGAACAGGACAAUGGUCCAAUUCAAGCACUUAUCAAGAGGUCACCCUACUUCUUCUGAUCUGGUGGACUCACUAAACACAUGCUUAUUUUGUAAACAAUGUCAGCGUUGGAGUGUUCCCCUGGCUAUCCGUAAAUUAAAACAAGAAAUGGUGUCGCCUGGUUUGCUUAAUAUAUUGAAUUUGAAAUGAUUAAUUCUUUCACUUUUGAUAUUUAAGUAUAUUUAAGAAAUUACAUUUUCUUUUGAUACUGAAGUAUAUUUAAAAACCAAAUACUUUUACUCAAAUAGUAUUUUACUGGGUGACUUUCACGAGUCAUUUUCUAUUAAGGUAUUUUUACUCAAGUAUGACAAUUUGGUCAUUUAUCCACCACUGUUUUUAAUGCAAUUUUACAUUUCUAACUGAGUAAUGGUGAACUACCAACAAUCUGUUUCAUGGAACUGCAGUCACGCAUGUACUGCAGUCACGCAUAUACUGUAUACUGGAACCAUAAAUUCAUGAAACUUUCACUGAACCCCCCCGUUUUAACCAAUAUCAGCAACACAGAAAAAAAAUAUCACACAGAAACGGGUGUUAAUUCAAAUUGUACCAGAUUGUCAGGCUGUAAAUAGAAAAGUCACAUGUUGUGUUAAUCUAUCCCACAGAGCACACAUUCAUGCCCCUUGGUCCACCAGAAGGAACUAGGUAAUAUAUCAGACCGGGGAAAAAAACAUACACACACACACACAAGGAUGCAAAGGGCACAUGAUGUUACUAAACACGUGCCUUCCAAAGCUCAUCAGUAAUAGAAAAAGUGUUGCACUACUAUUAGUAAGGCCACUUUCACUGUGAAGGUACAGUAACAGCUGAGCAAACACAAACAUCUUCCUCUGUAGUGCAAACUAUCAAGCAGUCUGUCUUAAUAAUGCCUGUUCCAUUACUUUGAACUUUGUACUCAGGACAAAGUACAGUUAUUCAGUCACAGUCAUGGGGGCAGCAGGUAGCCUAGCAGUUAAGAGUGUAGGACCAGUAACCAAAACGUAGCUGGUUCAAAUCCCAGGGCAGACUAGGUGAAAAACAUAUGUCCAUGUUUAUUUAUUUUAUUUGAUUUAUUUUACCUUUAUUUAACCAGGUAGGCAAGUUGAGAAAAAGUUCUCAUUUACAAUUGCGACCUGGCCAAGAUAAAGCAAAGCAGUUCGACAGAUACAACGACACAGAGUUACACAUGGAGUAAAACAAACAUACAGUCAAUAAUACAGUAUAAACAAGUCUAUAUACAAUGUGAGCAAAUGAGGUGAGAAGGGAGGUAAAGGCAAAAAAGGCCAUGGUGGCAAAGUAAAUACAAUAUAGCAAGUAAAACACUGGAAUGGUAGUUUUGCAAUGGAAGAAUGUGCAAAGUAGAAAUAAAAAUAAUGGGG
ensembl:lncRNA